ACCGGUUCAAACUAAACCAGUGCCAAAUUAAUAAAAUUGCACCGGUUUGAAUCGGUGGGAAUUUACUGUUAAUAAAAAACCCAACCCUCUUAUUUCUCCCUCUAUCCUCUAUUCUUUCUUUCUCUUUCCUUCUGAUCGUUCUCUCUCUCUCCUAAACUAGAUCUCUCUUGUAUCUCUCAGCUCCGCCGUGUCGCCGUCCAUUCCACCCCGCGGCGCCGUCUCUAUCUCUCCUUUAUCAUAAACUGGAUCGCUCUCCUUUUCUUUUUUUAAUUUCACCAUACACGGCAGCGCGUUUUCUUCACCGGCGGUGAUGGUAACGGGUAUAACUCUUCUCGAGUCCUCUGCUUCUGAUCUUGGUUAUUGGUUUGCAUGAUUGUAUUGUGUAUAAUGUUGGAGGUGAUUACUGUGCAAGAUUUAGCUGCUCAGAUUGAUGUCAAAUUGAAGCGCAAAAUGAUUUUUAUCGAAGGAGUCCUUCAUUGUUCGAUCUGUUAAAAUUAAAGCACUGAACCUGCUACUAGUGUUGAUUCUCCCAAUGGCCUUAUCCCUCCAGUGCACCUAAUCAAUGUUCUAGAUCUUUCAUCACAAAGCCCAUUGACAAUAUCAGGAAGAUACAGUGGGAAGUUUCCUGAAGUUUUCAAAGCAAGGGGCAUUAUUGCUGACAUGACAUGCUAUGAGUUGGAUCUGAAGGUUUACAAGUCAAAGGCAAUCCCUCUUGAUAAAUUGAGGCUAUUCUUGUGAUUGUGGACCGACACACAAGUCUUGAAAAAGAGAUAGCUUAUGUCUUGUUCAAAACAAGGGUAUAUGCCUUAUUCUCUGUCUGUUAAACCACUAUAGCUUCUGCCUUGUAAAGUUGCCACUGCUGCCCUGCAGCUACUGGCUCUCGCAAGGCUGCUGCAGUAGCUGCUGCCUCGCAUCACUGCUGAUGCAUGCUUCUAUGCUCUUGCUGUGCUUCUGGUCUACGCUACCGCUUCUAUGCUCCUGCAGAUGCUAGCUACUGCUAUGCUCUAUGCCACUGCUGCCAAUCUGCUCUAAGCUACUAUUGUAAUAUUAUUAGUCGGUCUUUUACAAUAUAAAACUAUAUUUAUUUUUUUUGAAUUAAAAUUAUAAUGUUACACCUUUAUAUUAAUAAAAAUUAUAAGU